GACGAACGCUGGCGGCGUGCUUAACACAUGCAAGUCGAGCGGUAAGGCCCUUUCGGGGGUACGACGAGCGGCGAACGGGUGAGUAACACGUGGGUGACCUGCCCUCCAGCUCUGGGAGUAAGCCUGGGAAACCGGGGUCGUAAUACCGGAUAUGACUCCAUGACGCAUGUUGUGGGGUGGAAAGCCUUGUGCGGCUGAGGAUGGGCCCGCGGCCUAUCAGCUUGUUGGUGGGGUGAUGGCCUACCAAGGCGACGACGGGUAGCCGGCCUGAGAGGGCGACCGG
rnacentral:rRNA from 1 species